UAGGCAAAUUAAUCAUUAUGUCAAAAAAUGACGGAGGAAAAAUUCUCUCUAACUGAUUUAUUGUUUCUCUUAUCUCUACUUGUACGCAAUCUAAUUUCCAAUGUGAUAAAAUUAUUACACAAACGCUGGAAGAAGGCACAUAGACGAAUCAAAGCAAUAGCCACAUGAUCUGGAAGGAUGUUUUUAAUGGGUAUUGGAAUGUAACAUAAAAUGAGUAUCAUGGGUCUUAUAACCAGACAAUUUCCUUUCAUCCAAGUGCACACACCUAGAUAUAUUGGAGGCACUGUCAUCAGGAAUAACAAAAAGAAUUCCAAGAAUGCUAUUAACUAUGAUCUUCUCUAUGUGCAUUACAUCAAGGUUGUGGCGUAACAAGUUGUGCUGCCAAUAAGGUAAUUCAAAAAAAUUACCCUUUUUUCCAUGGGCCAUCAUUUGAUCUCUUUCUCUUUUUUCCAAACACAUUUUCAAAAUCUUGUAAGCAAUUAAGCACAUCAGUUCCCUUUAAUAAAGAUGAUUCAGUUUUUCCAUUGAAA